rnacentral:rRNA from 1 species
CCGCCCGUCACACCACGAAAGUUGGUUCUACCCGAAGUGGCUGAGCUAACCCCUGAGCUUGUCGAAGGGGAGGCAGGCUCCGAAGGUAGGGCUGGUGAUUGGGGUG